AACGCCCCGCAAGGGGAGUGGCAGACGGGUGAGUAACGCGUGGGAAUCUACCCAGAUCUACGGAACAACAGAGGGAAACUUCUGCUAAUACCGUAUACGCCCUACGGGGGAAAGAUUUAUCGGAUUUGGAUGAGCCCGCGUAAGAUUAGCUAGUUGGUGAGGUAAUGGCUCACCAAGGCGACGAUCUUUAGCUGGUCUGAGAGGAUGAUCAGCCACACUGGGACUGAGACACGGCCCAGACUCCUACGGGAGGCAGCAGUGGGGAAUAUUGGACAAUGGGCGCAAGCCUGAUCCAGCCAUGCCGCGUGAGUGAUGAAGGCCUUAGGGUUGUAAAGCUCUUUCAGUAGGGAAGAUAAUGACGGUACCUACAGAAGAAGCCCCGGCUAACUUCGUGCCAGCAGCCGCGGUAAUACGAAGGGGGCUAGCGUUGUUCGGAUUUACUGGGCGUAAAGCGCACGUAGGCGGAUUGGUCAGUUAGAGGUGAAAUCCCGGAGCUCAACUCCGGAACUGCCUUUAAUACUGCCAGUCUCGAGUCCGGAAGAGGUGAGUGGAACUCCUAGUGUAGAGGUGGAAUUCGUAGAUAUUAGGAAGAACACCAGUGGCGAAGGCGGCUCACUGGUCCGGUACUGACGCUGAGGU
rnacentral:rRNA from 1 species